rnacentral:rRNA from 1 species
UCAGCCCUACGGGGCGCAGCAGUGGGGAAUAUUGCACAAUGGGGGAAACCCUGAUGCAGCGACGCCGCGUGAGUGAAGAAGUAUUUCGGUAUGUAAAGCUCUAUCAGCAGGGAAGAAACCCACCCUUUGGGGUGGCUGACGGUACCUGACUAAGAAGCCCCGGCUAACUACGUGCCAGCAGCCGCGGCAAUACGUAGGGGGCAAGCGCUAUCCGGAUUUACUGGGGGUAAAGGGAGCGUAGA